GAUGAACGCUGGCGGCGUGCCUAACACAUGCAAGUCGAACGGUUAAGGCGGCUUCGGCCGCGAAUAAAGUGGCGAACGGGUGAGUAACGCGUGAGCAACCUGACCUUCAGAGGGGGAUAACACUUGGAAACAGGUGCUAAUACCGCAUAAGACCACGACCUGACAUCAGGAUGAGGUCAAAGGAGCAAUCCGCUGAGGGAGGGGCUCGCGUCCCAUUAGAUAGAUGGCGGGGUAACGGCCCACCAUGUCGACGAUGGGUAGCCGAGCUGAGAGGCUGAUCGGCCACACUGGAACUGAGACACGGUCCAGACUCCUACGGGAGGCAGCAGUGGGGAAUAUUGGGCAAUGGGCGCAAGCCUGACCCAGCAACGCCGCGUGAGGGAAGAAGGCCUUCGGGUUGUAAACCUCUGUCCUUGGUGACGAAACAAAUGACGGUAGCCAAGGAGGAAGCCCCGGCUAACUACGUGCCAGCCGCCGCGGUAA
rnacentral:rRNA from 1 species